rnacentral:lncRNA from 1 species
AGAGAUGUUGAGAGAUCAACCAGGAGACUGUGGGAGGAUGUGAGCUCUCUGAGAAGGAGAAGAAGUAUUUACAUUAGAAGUCUGAUUCACAGGUCGGGGCAAAGUGAAAAACAUCUGCACUUUUAAAAGAGAGGUCAAAAGUCCGUCUGACUCACCUGUGCUGAGUGACUUGAAUGCCAUCUAAUCUAACUUCAAGAUCAUCAGGAUACUUGCCAACAAGGUCACAGUGGACUCCAUGGAGCAACUGCCCUCAGGAGGCAACAGGUCACAGUGUUUGGACACCGCAUGAACAUGCCAAUUUCCUGUGUUGUAAUAUUUUUAUGCACUUUAAGAAGACCACCAGAAACAGCAGACUGAGGCGCAUAUUGGACAAAAAUCACUUAUCCAAGACCACGUUACUACAACCCCAGGGCACAGAAGCUAAGUCUUCCUAUUGUACUGAACUCAGUUGACUGGAAUUUGUUCAGGAAAGCAUGAAGUCAAAUGGAAGCUAGUCCGUGACUGGAUUCAUCUUUUGGUAAAAAACGAAGAGGAGACCCCAUAUCCUGGAGGUUCUUGCUUAACCCUGUCCCUAAUAAGACCUAACUUUAUGAGUCUUCUCCUUAGAGGCAGUCCUAGGGUAAGAGUGAUUAUUCCUGUGAGCCUUGUAGGUACUUUCGAAUCAAGGAAAUUAGUAGUUGAUUGCUAAUUAAUUCAGUAUUUAAUGAAUUUAAGUACCUAGGCAAUGAGGCCACAAUAGCAAAUAAGACACAGACCUGUUUUCAAAAAGUAGCCUGUAAAUAAGAUAUUUUUUUCUGCCAUGGUGGCAAAGGCAUGACUAUGGUGAUGAACAUUCAUAGGCUCACCUUCUAGCUCUGUUGUAUGUUAACUGUGUGAACUUGGGUCAAGUUAUGAAAACUCUAAGAACUCUCAAAACUCCUGAUCUGUUUUAACAUGAAAGUAAAGAUAUCUAAUUGAAUUGUUGUGAAACUUAAAUGUAAUGUGACAUCCAAAGAAUGUAGCCCAAAGUUGGAUUUCAGUAAGUGAUAAAUAGAAGUAUUUAAACAUGGGUAUGGUAUGUUCUGUAACAGAAGAAUGUCUAUGUGCUGGGGAUACCUAGAGACAGUGAAAAUUCUGUCUGGCCUGCGAAUUAUAAUAAAAUGACUCUUUAAAGUCAA